AACGCUAACGGCGGUCGUGCCCCGCCGCUGCUGUCACCCCUGGCCGCUGCUGUCCCCGCCUCUCCCCCGGCCCCGCCAGCCACCUACGUUCUACUGCUCUCCUUCUUGAGAAGAAGGGUGGGAAGCACUGGAUCUCUCCCCACACCUCUCGCCUGAGGCCAGGCGCCAGGUGUCGCCUGAAGCCAGACAGCCGGUUUGGGAGCGAGCCUGAGGUCAACCGAUCAAUGGCUCAGACAGAUAAGCCAACAUGCGUCCCGCCGGAGCUGCCGAAAAUGCUGAAGGAGUUUGCCAAAGCCGCCAUUCGGGCGCAGCCGCAGGACCUCAUCCAGUGGGGGGCCGAGAGAGACCUCCAGAGGCUGCUCAGUAGAUGGAGCUUACACAACAAUCGCUGCGGGCCUGCAUUGAAGUAGCUUUGCACAGAAAACCUCUCAGCUAUGAAAUUGCUCCUUGGACAAACUUGCCUGCUUGAAACUGGGGAACCAGGACUUGAGACAGGAGUUGGAAGAUAACUAGACCUCACGGACCAUUUUCAGGCAUUUUUACUGUUUGAUGAUUCCCUGCUUAGGAGGGUUUCAGUGGGAAAGUGAGAGUGA
rnacentral:sRNA from 1 species